UACGUAGGGUGCGAGCAUUGUCCGGAAUUAUUGGGCGUAAAGAGCUCGUAGGCGGCUUGUUGCGUCGGAUGUGAAAGCCCGGGGCUUAACCCCGGGUCGGCAUUCGAUACGGGCAGGCUAGAGUUCGGUAGGGGAGAUCGGAAUUCCUGGUGUAGCGGUGAAAUGCGCAGAUAUCAGGAGGAACACCGGUGGCGAAGGCGGAUCUCUGGGCCGAUACUGACGCUGAGGAGCGAAAGCGUGGGGAGCGAACAGG
rnacentral:rRNA from 1 species